AUGAUAACAAACAACUGUCUCUCCAGUGAUGCAUUUGUUCCGUGCACCCAGCUCAAGGCCCUUCUCCUGCUUUUCUCUCAAGUCUCACUCGUCCUCCAUCAUCUGGGCCAGAAAGUUCCUGCUUCAGAGCUGAAGGAGUCAGACCUGCCUCACAGCCUGAAGGCUCCCCUUCAUCCUAACAAACAACUAGAGAAGACAACAACUUCCACUUGCUUUCACAGGCACAAAGAAACCCCAGAAGAUUGGUCACCUCUCUGAGGAGAAAUGGGGCAUCAGGGUGAAGGGCUGGGAGGGAGACUUUUCACCGUGCACACAAUCUACACACACACACAGUGGACGCGACCCCAGUGCCUACUGAGAAACGUCACCCGCAUCUAGUGAAGAUGGGGGAGGACAGCACGAAGCUGGGACACAGAGAGGAGCCCUGCUGCCUUAUGAUUUAAGAAAUGCUCACUUGGUCUUCCUCCCCCUUUCUGGCAGAGAGCUCCUAAGACAGACGGGAGAACAAUAACCUUGUCCUCUGUAAGGUUAAUGAUUUGGCUCUUGGGAAGCCCUGGAUGCAGGCUGCACCUCGCCGUCCCACCCCUGACCCCCAGGGAGGGAAGAGGGGCUGGAAGUUGAAUCAGGCACCAGUGGCCGACGAUGCAAUCAGUCCAAAGAAGCUACAGGCAGGGCUUUGAAAAGCUUCCAGGCCAGCUGGGGACCCGAACUCUGUUCCUCGCCCUGUCUCUAAAGCCAGGUUCCAAAGCUCCACUGGCUGGAAAAGCCUGAAAGCCUUAAAGAAAACCCAUUCAUCCACUCAGUAGAAAAAUAAGCCAUGUUACCCUCCUUCCAGCUGUUCACCAAAAGAGCCACAUAGCAACCCCCAGGAGCAUGAGAACACAGGCAGUGGCUGUAACCUGUCUUCACCAAGGUUUCAAGGGAGCCCCCAGCAAACAGCCCACCAUCUGCAGGAUGCCUGCAGCCCCUCUACUCAAGGCUUUAUGCCAUCACAAUCCCCUCUUAACCACAGGAGGGGUGUCAGGCCUUGCUCUUCUCUGAAUUUCUUCCACAAUCUUUGAGCGUUGGGAAAACCAUCCUGAAUUGGUCAGGUAUACUGGUUUAAGGGUUUUAAAUGAUUUUAUUUUCAUUCUAGUAAAGCCAACACAAUUACUUUAUCAGAUGACUAUUUACAAAAGCACUACGAUUAACUGAUUUCUUGUAGCAGAUAUUCAUCUUUGGAGCCAAAGAGACCUUGAUUUAAAUCCCAGCUCUGCCU
rnacentral:lncRNA from 1 species